rnacentral:piRNA from 1 species
UGUAGUUCGUAAAGUACACUGGGGA